rnacentral:rRNA from 1 species
UUAUUAUGGAGAGUUUGAUCCUGGCUCAGGACGAACGCUGGCGGCGUGCUUAACACAUGCAAGUCGAACGGAAAUCAGGGAGCUUGCUCCCUGUGAUUAGUGGCGAACGGGUGAGUAACACGUGAGCAACCUGCCCCUAACUUUGGGAUAACUUCGGGAAACCGGGGCUAAUACCAAAUACGACC